rnacentral:lncRNA from 1 species
CAGGCAGUAUCGUAUAACUUAUAGUUUGCUUAUCCAUUCACUACUUCUAUGUGUACGCACGUAGCCUACCCAUUUACUGCUUCUACAUGUACGCACAAAGCCUAACCAUUUUACUGCUUCUACGUGUACGCACAUAGGUCACACUGCUGUGACAAUAUAUCUGUGGCAAUGACCCACUCUCUCACACACAGAAGAGAAUCCAAAUCCAAAGCUAAGGAGCAAGACCUACAAGGUGCUAGCAUAUUGGUGGUCUAGGUGCUCCAAUCAGGCAUCUCCAUGUGGAUACCAACAG